rnacentral:rRNA from 1 species
AGCUGCCUUCGCCAUGGGAUGUUCCUCCUGAUCUCUACGCAUUUCACUGCUACACCAGGAAUUCCGCUACCCUCUACCACACUCUAGUCGCCCAGUAUCCACUGCAGUUCCCAGGUUGAGCCCAGGGCUUUCACAACGGACUUAAACGACCACCUACGCACGCUUUACGCCCAGUAAUUCCGAGUAACGCUUGCACCCUUCGUAUUACCGCGGCUGCUGGCACGAAGUUAGCCGGUGCUUAUUCUUUGGGUACCGUCAUCCCAACCGGGUAUUAGCCAGCUGGAUUUCUUUCCCAACAAAAGGGCUUUACAACCCGAAGGCCUUCUUCACCCACGCGGUAUGGCUGGAUCAGGCUUGCGCCCAUUGUCCAAUAUUCCCCACUGCUGCCUCCCGUAGGAGUCUGGACCGUGUCUCAGUUCCAGUGUGGCUGAUCAUCCUCUCAGACCAGCUACGGAUCGUCGCCUUGGUGGGCCUUUACCCCGCCAACUAGCUAAUCCGACAUCGGCUCAUUCAAUCGCGCAAGGUCCGAAGAUCCCCUGCUUUCACCCGUAGGUCGUAUGCGGUAUUAGCGUAAGUUUCCCUACGUUAUCCCCCACGACAGAGUAGAUUCCGAUGUAUUCCUCACCCGUCCGCCACUCGCCACCCAGAGAGCAAGCUCUCCUGUGCUGCCGUUCGACUUGCAUGUGUUA